rnacentral:rRNA from 1 species
GAUGAACGCUGGCGGCGUGCCUAAUACAUGCAAGUCGAGCGAACAGACGAGGAGCUUGCUCCUCUGACGUUAGCGGCGGACGGGUGAGUAACACGUGGAUAACCUACCUAUAAGACUGGGAUAACUUCGGGAAACCGGAGCUAAUACCGGAUAAUAUAUUGAACCGCAUGGUUCAAUAGUGAAAGACGGUUUUGCUGUCACUUAUAGAUGGAUCCGCGCCGCAUUAGCUAGUUGGUAAGGUAACGGCUUACCAAGGCAACGAUGCGUAGCCGACCUGAGAGGGUAAUCGGCCACACUGGAACUGAGACACGGUCCAGACUCCUACGGGGGGCAGCAGUAGGGAAUCUUCCGCAAUGGGCGAAAGCCUGACGGAGCAGCGCCGCGUGGGUGGUGAAGGUCUGCGGAUCGUAAAACUCUGUUAUUAGGGAAGAACAAAUGUGUAAGUAGCUAUGCACGUCUUGACGGUACCGAAUCAGAAAGCCACGGCUAACUACGUG